AUUGAACGCUGGCGGCAGGCCUAACACAUGCAAGUCGAACGAGUGGCGGACGGGUGAGUAAUGUCUGGGAAACUGCCUGAUGGAGGGGGAUAACUACUGGCAACGGUAGCUAAUACCGCAUACCAUCGGAUGUGCCCCGAUGGGAUUAGCUAGUAGGUGGGGUAAAGGCUCACCUAGGCGACGAUCCCUAGCUGGUCUGAGAGGAUGACAAUCCACACUGGAACUGAGACACGGUCCAGACUCCUACGGGAGGCAGCAGUGGGGAAUAUUGCACAAUGGGCGCAAGCCUGAGGCAGCCAUGCCGCGUGUAUGAAGAAGGGCUUCGGAUUGGAAAGCACUUUAAGUUGGGAGGCGUUACCAACAGAAUAAGCACCGGCUAACUCCGGGCCAGCAGCCGCGGUAAUUC
rnacentral:rRNA from 1 species